AUUUGUGCCUUUGCAGAGCAGCUGCUGCCCAGAGAAGUGAGGGAGCAGCAUUCACAUCUGAGCACAUUAGUCACCAGAUGUCACCUUUUGCUGCCAGCCCAUCGAACAUCCAGGCAGACAAUGCUCCAUGCAUUCUGAACAUCUGACUUACAACGCCUCCCUCAAAAAAAAAAAGGGGGCUGGGUGGCGCUCUGGACACCGACAGCCGUGACUCCCGAAGCUCACAGUCACAAUCGACAGUGACACCUACAGCUCGUAAGAACAGAUGUCUGAGCCAUGUGUGGAAAUGCUCCGCGACAGUCCUGAUGUUGCUGCUGACACCUGCAACAGAUCUGCUGCUGUCACCUUGAGGGUAUCAAAUCUGCGCUCUGACUGAGAGACGGCAGCUUGGCACACUCUGCGCCACAGACGCGAGCAGACAGUUUGCAUCUAUUUGCUGAGCGGAAGGUCUCAUUUGGGGAGGUAAACAGUGGUAGGAGCACGCAGAAUAGCAUGAAAAAAGGCCCAGAGGCUGAACACGUAGAAACUGCAGAAUUCCAUUAAGUGGGACUUGUACUUCUCUGAGCUUCAGGUUGCUGUGAAAGUUUCUGUUUUAAAAUAUGCAUCGUUUUCAGUUUGGUUUAUGAAAAUUUUGACGUUAUUUAUAGCAGUCUGAGAGCUGAUGACACACACUUAAAUAACUUGGGCGAUGAUGUUUCUUCCAGGGAUUCGUUAGUCCAAAAGAUAGUUUUAAAACUCUAAAGGUUGUAUGAAAGAGGCAGUUGGGUGUUUGUAUUGCCCGUAUUUUACAGGUCUCUGCAGAAAUAUUCAUAAGCCUUCAACAGUAACAUACCAAACCUCAUUACAACCAAAAACUGCAAUGUAAUUUAAUAAGAUUCUAUGUGAUAGACCUAAAUACCGGUGUUCGUAAUUGUAAAAUGUAAGGGGAAAUAAUACUUUUGACCUUAUUCUACAAAAAGAUUUCAUAAAUAAAAAAAAUUUGAAAAGUAUGACGCACAUUUCUAUUCAUCACUCUGAACCUAUACUUUGUAAAAUCGCCCAUCACUGCAAUUACAGCGGGGAAUCUUUUGGGGUUUGUCCCUAUAGGCUUUUGGAUUUUUUAAUUUCCAUCUCUUUUUACAUUUUUUUUAUGUUUUGCAUGCUACAAUGUGAAAAAAAAAAUCCACUGUAAACCUUGUUCGUUGCAUGUUUGUCUGUUAUGCGUACUCUUAGCCGGUGUGGCCAAAAAGAAAAUUCACCACAGUUACAGGCGAUGACAAUAAAGAAUCUUUGAAUCUUUGGA